GACGAACGCUGGCGGCGUGCCUAACACAUGCAAGUCGAACGAGGUCCAUCCUUCGGGAGAAGACCUAGUGGCGAACGGGUGAGUAACACGUGAAGAACCUGCCCCGAAGACCGGGAUAACCCUCCGAAAGGAGAGCUAAUACCGGAUACCCCCACGAACCGCAUGGUUUGGUGAGGAAAUGGAUUCCGCUUCGGGAGGGCUUCGCGGCCUAUCAGCUAGUUGGUGGGGUAACGGCCCACCAAGGCAUCGACGGGUAGCUGGUCUGAGAGGACGAUCAGCCACACUGGGACUGAGACACGGCCCAGACUCCUACGGGAGGCAGCAGUGGGGAAUCUUGCGCAAUGGGCGAAAGCCUGACGCAGCAACGCCGCGUGGGGGGUGAAGGCUCUCGGGGUUGUAAACCCCUUUCAGCAGGGACGAAUCAAGACGGUACCUGCAGAAGAAGCCCCGGCUAACUACGUGCCAGCAGCCGCGGUAAU
rnacentral:rRNA from 1 species